UACUGUUUUACGUUUAUCUAAAAUAAUGAUAACAGUAGAAUCAACAGUGGCGCCAUCAACAACAUUAAUGCCAAUGAAAAUAUCAACAAAAAUAGUAACCAAUAAUAAUUAUUACGUCGUGGUACAAUAACAAUAAUAAUUUACCAAUUCCAUUAAAUAAUGAAAUUCAAAUACGUUUCCAAUUCUAUAGAAGCAUUUCAAUAAAUUAUACCAUGAAUACUAAUCACACCAUAAACGUUAAACGAUCAUUAAUUACGUUUCUGACGAAACCUUUACCUUCUUCUCAUAUGUUCACACGUAAACGCAUUCAGCUAAUCACCGAACGAAAACCAACAACAUAGAAACAACAUAAACGUUAAACAACGAAUAGGAUGUUGAGGGUAGAAUUUGAAUGGAGAACUGUUAGGCGUGGUAGGAACCCAAUAAUAGGAGUUGAUGGACCAAAAAAAAAAAAAAAUACACAAAAAAGAAGAAAAA